rnacentral:rRNA from 1 species
UACGUAGGUGGCUAGCGUUGUCCGGAUUUACUGGGCGUAAAGCGCGCGUAGGCGGACCUGCAAGUCGGGGGUGAAAGCCCGAGGCUCAACCUCGGAACUGCCUUCGAUACUGCGGGUCUCGAGUCCGGGAGAGGUGAGUGGAAUUCCUAGUGUAGAGGUGAAAUUCGUAGAUAUUAGGAAGAACACCAGUGGCGAAGGCGGCUCACUGGCCCGGUACUGACGCUGAGGCGCGAAAGCGUGGGGAGCAAACAGG